rnacentral:rRNA from 1 species
CCUACGGGAGGCAGCAGUGGGGAAUAUUGCACAAUGGGGGGAACCCUGAUGCAGCAACGCCGCGUGAGUGAAGAAGUAUUUCUGUAUGUAAAGCUCUAUCAGCAGGGAAGAAGAUGACGGUACCUGAGUAAGAAGCCCCGGCUCACUACGUGCCAGCAGCCGCGGUAAUACGUAGGGGGCCAGCGUUAUCCGGAUUUAUUGGGUUUAAAGGGAGCGUAGGCCGCAUGUCAAGCGUGCUGUGAAAUGUCCGGGUGCAACCCGGGCCUUGCAGCGAGAACUGGCGUGCUUGAGUCCGCGGAAGGCAGGCGGAAUUCGUCGUGUAGCGGUGAAAUGCUUAGAUAUGACGAAGAACCCCGAUUGCGAAGGCAGCUUGCUGCAGCGGAACUGACGCUGAUGCUCGAAAGCGCGGGUAUCGAACAGGAUUAGAUACCCCAGUAGUC